AACAAAAAUGAACAUUUUAAAAUGAUUUUGUGUUGCGAGUUGUUUAAUUUAGGAAAAUUAUCGAUUUGAAUGCCAACCUCGGGUUUGGCCGUGACGUCAAGUAUCCCCCCCCCCACAGUCGGGGUCAGUGAACUCCACUUAGCUUUACGUUGUUUAUACACACGUUCACAUUUGUAUUUUCACGACCCUGACAUCCGUAUCCCAAACAUGUUACUUCGUCACACUUCAGAAAGACAAUGAUGGCAUAAAAUAAUAAGAAAAACGUGUACACAGCCUCGACCAAGAUGGCCAGUGAGCUCCACGAGACCAUCUUAAUGGCCAAGCAAGAGCGCCACAAGAAUCUCUUCCUCAAUUACAGGAAUCUCAACCAUUUUCCUGUGGAGCUGCUCAAAGACGAGGGCCUGCACUUCCUGGAGAGGCUCUACAUGAAGAGGAACUCACUCACCACACUGCCCGACAAUCUUGCACAGAAGCUACCGAAUCUAAUAGAACUGUAUUUGCAUUCAAACAACAUUGUGAUUAUUCCCGAAGCAAUUGGAAACUUGGCACGGCUGCAGUCGCUGGACCUGAGUAGCAACGCCCUGCUGCUGCUCUGCCCGGAGGUCGGACGACUGAGGUCUCUGAGACACCUCAGACUGUCCAACAACCAGCUCAAAAGUCUGCCGCCAGAGAUUGGCGACCUUCAGUUCCUGGAGACUCUGGAUGUGUCUGUGAACCAGCUGGUGUCGCUCCCCAACCGGCUGCACCGCUGCUCGUCCCUGCAGUACCUGAGCGCCGACCACAACCUGCUGAGCCACGUGCCACGCCACCUCUGCCGGCUGACCCGCCUCACCCAGCUCUCCAUGGCAGCCAACCGCCUCACCUUCCUGCCGCUAGAUCUGGGAGGAUCGCGCGAGCUGCAGUUUGUGUUUGUGGACAACAAUUUGGACCUGAAAGGCCUACCCUCAUACUUGUACAACAAGGUCAUCGGAUGUAACGGGUGUGGCAUGUCUCCACAGGGUGGCAUGGCAUGCCAGGAAAGCCAGGAUGAGGCACUUAGCGAGGCUCUGUUAGGGCUGCCAGCCGAAGUCAAAGCGGUGGCCUCUGAGGCGGACAACGUGGUCCCGCUGGAGGAGCUCGCCAUGAGAAUGCUGCACCAACUCUACCAUCAACAACACAUCAACCCCACAGAUGUGAACAUCCCGCCUACCAUCCCGCUGCCAAAGAGUCUCCUGGAUCUACUGCAAUUCCCACUAGGUCACUGCCACCGCUGCACUCAAGCCAUGUUCACCGUCAUCUACCCCAAGCUCUUCCCACUGCGACACACUGCCCUGGCAGGAGUGCACCGCAGGACCACAGUCAGUUUUGUGGCGUACUGCUGCUCCAGCCGCUGCCUUCGGACAUUUAACCUACAAGGCUGACGUUGUUGCCUCACACUUUAGCGCCGCUGUGUUGACAGUGAUGACUGUUUUGCAACUCAGACAAUGGGCGUGGGACUAUGUGAUUGCUGAAUAACGCUUUUAACAAAGACGUGAAAUUAACAAGCACUUUAAAACUUCUCUUUUUUUGGGGGAGGCGAAAAUAUUUUGACAGAAGGCACAUCAUCAUGGAUUUGUUGACGCAUCUUUGAUGUAAACUUUCAACCUCUGGCCCUUUUGCCAGUAAACAUUAGAUGAACUUUCAGUGUUUCUUCUGCUUGCUCCAAGUCUGCUGUCUGUGCAAAACUGUUUUCCAUCAAUGUACAUUUAUUAGAGAUCCUUGAAAUCCAAUUUAAGAUACAUGUACUAGUAAGAAAAACAACUGUCUUUUUAUCGGAACGUUUUUUUCCACAACUGCCUUCCACUACUGUAUGACCUUUCUGCACAAGUUUGUCAAACAGGUAGGACAUGUUACUAGUGAGCACAACUGCACUAAUUGACAUCUCUGCUCCAAAUGUGUCCUACUAUUGAGGACGAAGACCAUACUAGUACAUGGACUUUAAGGUGGGCAUGAAGGAUAUGGAAUACUGUAAAUGCUCAAACGGCUCCCCAUAGCUGUCUUUGGCGUUGUCCAGAUGUCCCUGUUGUUACCAGUAAUGUCCACUUCCUACAAGGUCUCUGCACAAAUAGUUGGGUCGCGGGGGCAGCUGCUUUCAUAGGGAAUCCCAGACUUGCCUCUCUCCAGCCACUUGGUCCAGCUCUUCCGGGGAGGAUCCUGAGGUGUUCCCAGGCCAACUGGAAGAAAUAAUCUCCAUCUUCCUCUCCCUGAUGGGACAUGCUGGGAACUCGUCACUAGGGAGGCGUCCAGGGCCAAACCAGAUGCCCGAGCCAUCUCAUCUGGCACCUCAUUGUGUCUCUCAAUGCGGAGUAGCAGCAGAGCCCCUUCUGGAUUACCGAGGUGCUCACCCCAUCUCUAAGGGAGAGGAAACUCAUUUCGCCCACUUCCGUAUCUGUGAUCCUGAUCCUGAGGUCACCACACACAGCUUGUGACCAUAGGUGAAGGCAGGAACGUAGGCCGACCGGUAAAUCGACUGGUAAAUACCGCUUUACUACGACCGACCGAUACAGACUCCACAUCACUGCAGACAGUUCACCAAUCCGGCUGUCUAUCUCCUGCGCCAUUCUUCCCUCACACGUGAACUUCUGUCCCAGUCCGCAUGAACAAGGAACUAUUGAAUUCAUUAAAAUCACAGAAACUAUGGGAUAAUGUAAUAAAAGAAUAUAGACUAUAUUUUGUCAUAAAGUCCCAAUAAUGAGGCCACCAUACCAGAACACCUCAAUGCCUCGGCUGUGAAAGUCUGUCCAUAAAGGUUAUGAACCGAAGCACAUACCUCGAGUCGAAAGUUUCCAAUGUGGAUAAAUCACGAAAUCUGAAUGAACAAUGCCCAUUUUUAAUACAUAUAUUAAGUGUAUUUUUUAAAUGGCAUUCCAUUACAUGUUUGCCUGUGGUGGUUUUUUGGAGCGUGUGUGAGUCAAUGCCUUUGACAGGAUGGUGUGCUUGUGCUCGUGCGUGUGUGUGUGUGUGUGUUAAUACAUCAUGCAACAGCCAAGUAAUUUCCUGCCUGUAGGUCACGCUGGCUGGCUGGGUGGGGGCGACGCUGCUCAGCCUGCUGGAGAUAACAUGCUGUGAAAUGUCAUGUCAUGACACAAAAAUGAACAUUUGGAAGGGUUGUUUGUCUACAAGUUAGCUUUUCACAGUAUUUAAAAAUAUGGAUGUUAUUUCUUGGAUGUGGAGUUGUGUUCCCUGCAAAAAUGUGUUGCGUUUGUCCCCGAAAAGAAGCAGGCUGGCGACGACGACGAGGAGAUGAGCAGUCAGAUGUGUGAAGUGAUGUUACCGACGGCCGCAAAGUGACAGGCGGCAGUGGGAACAUGAUCGACAGCUCAAUUCAUCCUCCGGCCCCCACUCCAACAUGGCAUCCGUGUGCCACGUCACUUCUCCUUUUAUUACAUUUUAAGAUAUUUUUCAUCUCAUUUCAUUUUUUUCUUCAUAACCUCCUUCUUAGUGUUUUCCUCCCUGAGUCUAAAUUUGUUUAUUCUCUCACCCAUACAUCUAUCCUUCGCUUAAAUCUCCUUUUCUGUCUUCCUUUAUUCCUCCUCCCUUCCUCCUCAGACCUGCUUUUAUUCUACUUUCCUUUCUGACCUCCAAACCAGCUUUUUUUCCAAACAUAUUUGUUUUCCUUCCUUUAUUCCUUAACUGCUUUUUAUUCUUGCAUUCUUCCUUUGCUGAAACCUACGUUUCUGCCAUCCUCUCUGACCUUUUUCAUUACCUCCUUCCUUCCCAUCAGUUUGGAACAUUCCGUAGAGGAACAGGUUAAUUGAAAACAGGUGAGUGUCAUGAUUGGGUGUAAAAGGAGCAUCCCCAAAAGACUCAGUUGUUCACAAGCAAGGAUGGCGAGGUUCACCACUUUGUGAACAACUGUGUGAGAGCAAAUAGUCCUACAGUUUAAGAAGAAUGUUUCUCAAGGUAAAUUUGCAAGGAAUAAGGGAUUUCAUCAUCUCCGGUCCAUAAGCGGCAAGGCCGAAAACCAACAGUGAGUGAUUCAUAGACUUUCGAUCCCUCAGUGGGCACUACAUUAAAAGCCGGCAUCAUUGUGUAAAGGAUAUUGCCACGUGGCCUCGGGAGCACUUCAGAAAACCAUUGUCAGGUAACAAGGUUGCUACAUCGAGAAAUGUAAGUUCAAAUUCUAGCAUGCAAAGUGAAAGCCAUAUAUCAACAACACCCCAGAAACGCUGCCAUCUUCUCUGGGCCCGAGCUCAUCUGAGAUGGACUGAAGUGGAAAACUGUUCUGUGGUCUGACGAGUCCACAUUUUGAAUUGUUUUUGGAAAUCAUGGAUGUCAUGUCCUCCGGGCCAAAGAGGACCAAUCCAGUUCAAAAGUCAGCAUCUUUGAUGGUAUGGAGGUGUGUCAAUGCCCAUGGCAUGGGUAACUUGCACAUCUGUGGAGGUACCAUUAAUACUAAAAGAUACAUACAGGUUUUGGAGCAACAUACUGUAUGCUGCCAUCCAAGCAAAAGUCUUUUUCAGGGAUUUCCCUGCUUAAUUCAGCAAGGCAAUGCCAAGCCACAUUGUGGAUGUGUUUUAACAGUGUGGCUUUGUAGUAAAAGAGUGCUAGUACUAGAUUGGCAUGCCAACAGUCCAGACCUGUUGCCCUUGAAAAUGUUUAGCGCAUUAUGAAGCGCAAAAUAUGACAACUGAGACACCGGCCUGUUGAGCAACUGAAGUUGUACAUCAAGCAAGAUUGGGAAAGAAUUCCACCUACAAAGCUUCAACAGUUAGUGUGCGCAGUUCCCAAAUGUUUACUGAGUGUUGUUAAAAAGAAAGAUGAUGUAACACAGGGAUAAACUUGCCCUUCUCCCAACUUUUUGGGAACGUGUUGCAGGCAUCAAAUUCAAAAUGAGUGAAUAUUUGCAACAAUAAAAAAAAAAGUGUAUCAGUUCGAACAUUAAAUAUUUUGUCUUUGUAGUUUGCAAACCAUAGUAUUUAAUCGUGAUUUAUGGUUUACACAAGGUCCCAGCUUCAUUGGAAUUGGGGUUUGUACUUUUUCUACCUUCUGUCUCUUCUUUUGGACCUCCUUCGUGCCUUCCACCCCCUCAGACCUGCUUUUCUUCCCAACGUCCAACCUUUUCACUUUCCUUCCCGCCUUUCUACCUACCCGAUUUUUAUUCAUGCAUCCUUACAUCGGUCCUUACUUUGCUUAAACCUCCUGUUGCUUCAUUCCUUCCUGCCUUCCUUUUUGCCUUCCUUCCACCUCAGAAUAGCGUUUUUCUUCUUUCCUUCCUGACCUCCUUCUUUCAAACCCUCUUUUUUGCAUCCCACCCCUUUUCUUGAAAGUACUCUUCUAUGCCCCCCUCCUUACAUUUUGAUCUCUUUUAUGCCCUUCCUUCCAUCACCCCCAAUUUCAUUCAAAAUUGGAACAUAAGCCCUCAAUCAUCAGUAAUAUGCUGGUCUGGACAUGUGAAGGCAGGAUGGUGCCUACUUAGCUCAGCUGGUACAGCCACUCAUCCACUGAUCAACCAGUUGGUGGUUUGAAUACAAGAGAUAACUAUUUAACAGUAUUUUGCAAUUAUAAAAUACAGUAAGAUACUCUUGAAAUCCACUGUUCAUUAAAAACGCUGUUUUAUGCUGUUAAAUUAGUUAUUUACUGUUAUUAUUACUGCUGUUAUUUUAAAAAUUAUUAUAAAAUACAGUAACAUACUGUUGUAAAUUCACCGUGAAUUAAUAGCAAUUUGUUUGUGUGUCCAAUACUGCUUUAGAAUCCACUUUCUUUGUUCUUGACUCAAAUUAUUUGCCAUUAAUCACUGUGCCUGUUAAAUAAAAUAAAGUAGGUUAAUAUAAUAAGCACUGUAUAUGCCAACUUUUGUCCGACUCUAUAUUUUGAGCAUUUUGUGGAUUUGUAUGUAAUUCAAUGCAGCAUACAACUAUUUACUUUAGUAGCACAUUAAUAAUCUUCACUUCAUCAUCUGUUUUCAUGAUAUACGUGCAUAUAUAUCAUCAAAGUGAAUUUUUAAAUUAUAAUAGAAUUAUGGUAAUAACAGUGUAUGUUUUAUCCUCUGGGCUGUAUUUUUAUCUACUUUAUUUUAUUUCACCCUGUUUUUUG